CACUCGACAUGUGAAUUCUGGCCCAAGGGUCUCAUAUUUUAUCUCUUAAAAGGUAUCUCACGAGAGAAGGAUAGUCUCUUUCCUAUAUAAGUUAGAGUCCCUCUUGACUCAUAAUCAAUAUAGACCCAAUAGAACCCUCUCUUCUAUACCACAACAUGGCCCUCCAAUCAAGGAAGAAUCUGUGUAUGGAUGUGAGAUUUUCUCCAUUUUAUUUUUACCACAGACUGAUGUAU
rnacentral:lncRNA from 1 species